UACGUAGGGUGCGAGCGUUGUCCGGAAUUAUUGGGCGUAAAGAGCUCGUAGGCGGUUUGUCGCGUCGGAUGUGAAAGCCCGGGGCUUAACCCCGGGUCUGCAUUCGAUACGGGCAGACUAGAGUGUGGUAGGGGAGAUCGGAAUUCCUGGUGUAGCGGUGAAAUGCGCAGAUAUCAGGAGGAACACCGGUGGCGAAGGCGGAUCUCUGGGCCAUUACUGACGCUGAGGAGCGAAAGCGUGGGGAGCGAACAGG
rnacentral:rRNA from 1 species